CACUUCAUAGUACAACGAAUCU
rnacentral:miRNA from 2 species